UCUUUUUUUUUUUUUUUUGACAAAUCCCGCCACUGCCUUUCCUCAUUUCCUAAAAGAGAAAACCCUACUAGCUCAUCUCUUCUUCCCCUCUUCAAUAUCUUGUACACAUAUCUAUACCCUUUAUCCUCUCUGAACUUAGGGUUUUUCUCUUUCCACUUCUAUACCUUUUAGUGAACCCAUCUCCACCUUCUGGAACUCACUAAACCAGUCAAGCUCUUCUCCUGCGACACACACAAGCAUAGCGGCAUAGAUUGGCUUCUUGUCUACCACACACGGUUCAAAAAUCAGUUAUUUGGACGGACGUCUGGUCAUAUGGGGCAGCAGGGGUUAUCCUCUAUGUCUUGAUGGUAUGAAAUAUUCCAUUCCACAAGCUUUUUCUCUUCACUCCCUGAAGUUUUAUUUGGUUUAUCGCUCUGCUUUUUGGUAACAAUGAUUUGAGAUAAGAAAAUAAGAUGCUAAGAAGGCAAACAAAGCAGCAAGGAAGGACAGGAACUUGGGUUAAUCUUCGUUUGUUAAUAAUUAGUUUCAUGAUUUUUUUUUUAGAGUUUUGCACUGAUAUAUAUAUAUAUAUAUAUGUUUAUAACCUUGGUUUUGUAAUAGAUGGGUACUAAGAGAAGUUCAACCUCUGCCUUCAACGCUUGGACCAGGAAUAUACCUUGGUGCAAUGGAGAGAGCCACCUCAGUUAUCACUGAUGAAAUUUGAUUGAGCAAAUGUGAGGGACACUGUUUUCUCAACAAAAAUGAGUGAGUGACAGAUGGGAGCAACAACCCAAAUUUCCCAAGGGUAUAUAUGGAGGAAUAUGUUUAGCAUGAAUGAGCAAGAUUGAUGUGAUGUUUUUUUUUGGAUAAUACUCUAGUUGCAGUGAAGAAGCUACUGACAAACAGCCUUUCAGUUUGUCAGAUGCAAUAUUCUUCCUAAGGCAUGUGUACGUAUAGACCCAGAAGAUGCUUUAACUCAACUUCUUAAGCCAACUUUAUUAUGUGAUAUAUUUUUUUCAAAAGGAAUGCUAGCUGCUGAAUUUGGAGGAAGAGGAAUUCCCGACGAUGAGCCUAUUUCAACCAAGGGCAAACCAUAAAUUUUUCUCACUUUUGAAAUGACAAUUGAUUAUGCUAUCCAUUAUGGAGGCUCUGUACUUCUACUCUGUAAAGAUCAACUCUAUUUGUGUCAUCAUCUUAAAAGGAAACACGCAUAUUAUGAUUGAUCUUGGAAAUAAAAAACAACAAUGAGAUGAAUUGAGCCUUCAAGUACAAGUAUAACAAGAGUUUACUGUGGAGCAAUUAGUGAAUCUAUCUCGAUGUUGAGUAGAUAUUACUACUAAGUUCUUUUGCAAAUACCAAAUAAAUGUAAAACUUUUGAUGUAAUGUGCAGAUUUGUGUAAGUAAAAUUAGCUUGGAUUAUGUUUUAGAUACAGGUUGUGUAUUAUAUAUUUUAAUUAGUUUGUAUCGUGGUUUAUUAAUUUUAUAAAAUUAAUUUUGAAAUUUUA